AGUUUUACGACCAUUAAAAAAAAAUUGAAUUACAUCGACAAGAGGUCGACCCGGAACAAAAUGUGAUGUCAUGGUUUGGAAAAGGCCUCUGGGGUGAGACGCCCAGUUCUUAAUAGCAAUGAAGAUCAGUUCACGAGUACCGCACGAAAUGUCACGGUGGCAACUGCACGAGGUGCGCGGCGUGAGAUUAAGACGAAUGCCAUGGGUCCUCCGAUGAGAGCCCUCCUUAUUAAUCACCGUCACGGAGUUAGAAGCAAUUUUAAGCCACCUUCAUCGACUCCGAGCACGGGGGCUGUGGCGGCCACUAGCCCGCCCUCCCCCGUCACUGCCGAGGGCUUCCGUGUGCGACGACCCACUUCAUUAAACUCUCCAAAAGAUACACGGAAAGCCGCGUGAAACUUGCUUUUAAUAUCAGCUCAAUCGCCACCCCCUGCCGCCCACCACUUUGUACGCCACUGGUCGGGGCGCUCGUAUGUCGCAGAAUAUUCAAGGUUCGACCAGAAUAAGCAUCCAUCGGCCUUUGCAUCCUGCAACUGCGUAUUCGAACAGCAGGAAGAACUAAUGAGACGCUGAUGGGUGGCUUAUUAACGACUUGGACAUUUUGGCAAUGAUCAGCUUAUAAAUGGCUCCCGUCAAGGCGCUCCUAAACCUCCAAAUGAGUCUUUUCACUUCAGCGCUCCCGUCGCACAAUAACAAACGAGGGCCAUUAGCCGUAUUGUUAGCCGCGACGCCCCGAGUACAAACAAAAGAUCGUAAAUAACAAUCUGCAAGGGGAAGCCUUUCAAGAGGACCGAUAUCGGUCAGGCCUGCCAUAGAUGACGUCGGAGGGCUUAGGGGGCAAGGGGGGUGACGGGAAGGGUCUGCCAAAACAAAGGCACGGCUGAGAGGAAGAAAACAUGGCAUGGCUGACAAAGGUGACGCUGGAAAUGGUGUUUCUAGAAACCUUUGUUAUUAUUUGUGUCUUUCCUUCUUCUAUUUUGGUAUGUUUUGGGACUAUUGGUCACCAUCUAAUAUUUCAAUAUCUAUUUGGAGCGAGGGACGCUUGCUUCUACACAAUACAACCAAACAAGAUCCACCGUGACCCGGGAAAAGUUUAUCCACUUAUGUGACGUUUCAAUAACAUAAUCCAAAAAGUGUGACGGCUUUUUAACGGGAUUACGUGGCCUGAACGGAGCGGAGACUUGUGGCCAUAAAGGAAGUAAGUCCAUACAACCAUGUCAUAGGAAAUGGAACUUAACGCUUUUUUUGGGCUAUUUCCAAAUAUUUUUUUGGGGGGGGAGAGUGUAUUAUUUUUUAAAUAUUAUUAUUGUUAUUAUUUGUGGAUUUUUCUGUGAAUAUUUCUAAUUGGGGAUUCCUUUCUAAUAUUUGUGUACCAUUUGCUCACAUUUAGUGAUUUAUUUUGUAUUUUUUUACUUUAUAUUUUGUGUUAUUUUGUCUAACAUUACAAAUGAAAAUCUUUUUUGGUGUACUAUUUUUGUGCUGUCUUUUAUUUUUUAAAUUUUGGAUUUUUAACACGUUUUGAAUUGUGCAUUUUGCUGUCGGCAUUAAGCCAAUAGCAGGUAGCUCACCCCCUAGCAUGAGAACAAGCUCAUUCAUUCCAAUAAUUGAUGCUGACAGCCCAUCAGGAGAAUAAUGUAUGGCAAUAAUGAAAGAUUGUUUAUGUAUCGCAGCAUGAGAAGGUAGGGCGGCUUGUUUUUUGUUUUUUUUUUUGUCCGUUUUGUUUUUGUUUUUCAGGAGGGCGGCGAUGCUGACGGAUGGACAGAAGUGACAGUGCGGUAUUUAUCCUGCGCGCUCCGCCGCUGGUGUUUGGACAUGGCAAUAAAUCAAGCGCUCUUCCGCCGCCCUAUCUACAGCUUAUUACUGCCGGCGUGACAAAUAAAUAAUAAUCCCUGUCAGCCGGGCCACUUUCCACUACACGAUCAAAAGGCCGACUGAACUCGUCACUCCUGCUUGUUGCUUGCAAGCAUUGCCGCAGAAGCAAGCGGGAGUAUAUUCGGCUUUUUCCCUUUAUGGAUAUGAGACAAAAGGGAGGCUGCGGCAGUGGUGGGCGAGAGCGCGGCCUAAUGGCGCUGAUUAAUGACAACGGGCCAGAGGAGAGCCGGGACACGGGCGCAACAUCGAUCAUCCUUUCUCAUCAGUCGGUGCACCUCUGUGGGCCUCUUCUUCCCCAAGAAGAAAAAUGCACCAGCUGAAAUAAAUACAAUACUAAGCUU